UCUGAUGAAAGGGGGUAUCCAUUGACACCCAUCGUUCUCUAUCCGAGUGACCUUCACUUCUAAAAACCCAUCGCAAACCUAGCAACCAAGAACUCCACGAUCAACCCCAUUUCAAUCCCACUACACCAUCGUCUUUCUUCCUCAUCGUAGACUCACUUCAGCACUUUCUCGAUUCAACCCUCAUCAGAUUCAUUUUCGUAUUAUUUGUUUCUCCUCCAGGCAGUUUCUUUCACACCAACAGUGCCUCACAUUGUCAGCAGUUCAUCCAUCGUCAACCCAUCGCGUUGAAGCCAUCUAUGAAGAUUCACCUUGUCUCUUCUUCUCAUUUCAUCAUCCUCUUUCUAGCAUUUACACUUGUUAGAGUUUGAGGUGAAAAUUCGAUCUGUUCCAUAUAAACUUGUAUUGUGGG
rnacentral:misc_RNA from 1 species